rnacentral:rRNA from 1 species
UACGUAGGGGGCAAGCGUUGUCCGGAUUUAUUGGGCGUAAAGAGCGUGUAGGCGGCUAGGUAGGUCCGUUGUGAAAACUCGAGGCUCAACCUCGAGACGCCGAUGGAAACCAUCUGGCUAGAGUCCGGAAGAGGAGAGUGGAAUUCCUGGUGUAGCGGUGAAAUGCGCAGAUAUCAGGAGGAACACCGGUGGCGAAGGCGGGUCUCUGGGCAAUUCCUGACGCUGAGGCGCGAAAGCGUGGGGAGCAAACGGG